rnacentral:rRNA from 1 species
UCGGGUUGUAAAGCACUUUUGUCCGGAAAGAAAACUUCUGCCCUAAUACGGUGGGAGGAUGACGGUACCGGAAGAAUAAGCACCGGCUAACUACGUGCCAGCAGCGCGGUAAUCGUAGGGUGCGAGCGUUAAUCGGAAUUACUGGGCGUAAAGCGUGCGCAGGCGGUUCGUUAAGACAGAUGUGAAAUCCCCGGGCUUAACCUGGGAACUGCAUUUGUGACUGGCGAGCUAGAGUAUGGCAGAGGGGGGUAGAAUUCCACGUGUAGCAGUGAAAUGCGUAGAGAUGUGGAGGAAUACCGAUGGCGAAGGCAGCCCCCUGGGCCAAUACUGACGCUCAUGCACGAAAGCGUGGGGAGCAAACAGGAUUAGAUACCCUGGUAGUCCACGCCCUAAACGAUGUCAACUAGUUGUUGGGUCUUCAUUGACUUAGUAACGUAGCUAACGCGUGAAGUUGACCGCCUGGGGAGUACGGUCGCAAGAUUAAAACUCAAAGGAAUUGACGGGGACCCGCACAAGCGGUGGAUGAUGUGGAUUAAUUCGAUGCACGCGAAAAACCUUACCUACCCUUGACAUGGUCGGAACCUGCUG